AAGUCGUAACAAGGUUUCCGUAGGUGAACCUGCGGAAGGAUCAUUAGUGAAUAAACAAGUGCAGGUUGUGCUGGCCUUCUUGGUAUGUGCACGCCUGCCAAAGUUUCAUUCCAUCUUCCCACCUGUGCACUCUGUGUAGAUUCUGUAUGCUGUUGUCAAGCCUUUAUUGUGCUUGGUUGAGAGGAGUUGCUUGUUUUCACAAACAAGCUCUUCUUGGGCAUGCAGGUCUAUGUUUAUAUCAACACCAUAUGAAUGUUUUAGAAUGUGUAUCAGGCUUUUGGCCUUUAAAUUAUAUACAACUUUCAACAACGGAUCUCUUGGCUCUC
rnacentral:misc_RNA from 1 species